CUCCUGCUCCUAUUUCCCUGUGGUAUUGAAUAUCAAUAUCAGUAUCGUAGGUAUAGUGUCAAAGUUAGAAAUUCCAGUAUUGUGACAACAUGAAAUUAUACAUAUAUUUCCUUAACACAGCAUUGUCACAAACACAGAAGAGGACAGAUGAGGUGAGCAGCAAACAAACAGUGCUUUAUUGGAGGUAUUAGAGAGCAGGCUAAAAGUGAACAGUGAAGACGGUGAUGCAGGCUGAGUGGAGAAUCCAGGGAAACGACACAAGGAACAGAAGACAGGAGAUAAAUCAGGAUCACUGGUUUUCUCCAGGAUUCUGUGGUGAAAAGUAAAGGUAUGAGGAGGAGCUCAGCGAGGGGACAAGGCGUGAGAGGACACACUGGAUGUUUUCGCUUCAGCGACGCAAACAGCCUUCAUAUUUUAAAUAAUUAAACUAA